UACGUAGGGCGCAAGCGUUGUCCGGAAUUAUUGGGCGUAAAGAGCUCGUAGGCGGCUUGUCGCGUCGAUUGUGAAAGCCCGGGGCUCAACUCCGGAAUUGCCUUUAAGACUGCAUCGCUAGAAUUGUGGAGAGGUAAGUGGAAUUCCGAGUGUAGAGGUGAAAUUCGUAGAUAUUCGGAAGAACACCAGUGGCGAAGGCGACUUACUGGACACAUAUUGACGCUGAGGUGCGAAAGCGUGGGGAGCAAACAGG
rnacentral:rRNA from 1 species